UGGUUAAGAUAGGUCGUUGGGCAGCGAGUCUCGCAAGAGUUUUUGCACUUUUUCGCAACUUGUGGGUAACCAUUUAGACACAACCACUAUAACAAGUAAAAGAAGAGAGGAAGUCCAUAAGGGCGGGUAAGAGGGGGUGGUGGGAGGGUCAAACAAACACAGGACUUUCACCCAGGAGACCGCUCCUGAUGUCCCAUAUGAGCACAAAGGUAAACGCUCACUUAAAGGUCUCAUAUUAUGCUCAUUUCCAGGUUCAUAGAUGUAUUUUAAUGUUGUACUAGAACAUGUUUACAUGCUGUAAUGUUCAAAAACCCUUUAUUCUUCUCAUAGUGUUCUCCUCAAUCUGCCUGCUCAGAGCCAAAUUCCGCCUCUGUCUGGGGGACACUGAUUUACAGCCUGUCUCCUCCCACUCUGCUCUGAUUGGUCAGCGUUUCCUGCUGUCCUGUCAAUCAAACGCCCUCGACACAGCGUUACUUUCUCCCCAGAGCUCUCUGCAGCUCUGACUGCAGCUAGCUGAGCUGAGAGAGAAGUAGCUAGGAAGAGUUUAUAAACUACUUCAAAGUUUAUAAACCAGAAACUUCACCCAGCGCACGUUACCGGAGGAAUCUGAUCAGAAAUCGGCGAUAAAUGAUCAACAUCUGCGGUCCAGAUUCCAGGUUUUCCUGACGGUUUCUCUCAGAUCCAUCUGUGAGAAAUGACCGACAGAAUCAUCCCAGAGGAGGAGAAAACAUUAGCAGUGAGCAGAUGGGAGAUACAGAGCUAACAUGGUAGCAUGUAGCUACAUGCUAACAUGCUAUGUGACGGUGUGUAACCACAGCGACCAUCAGGGUGGAAAAUAGAAGAUGUGAAACAGUAGUCAGUUCAUUAUUUCUGGUAAAAGACACCUGAUAAACGUAGUAAAUUAAUCAGAGUAAUGGUGUAUUAGUUACUGUAGGAGCUGUCUCUGUGUUACCAUGAAUACAGACCACCGGAGCUUAGCUUACCGGAGCUUGCCGUAGUUUACCGGAGCUGAAAAGACUUUCUCCUGUACCAUGUCAACAUAACUGAAGGUGGGAUGAAUAAAAUGCUGUGAAUAAUUAA